ACCUCUGUAGCUGAGUGGUCAAAGCACUGACCCGGAGGUGCUGGGUUCGAAUCCCGGCCAGGGCG
rnacentral:tRNA from 1 species